AUUGAACGCUGGCGGCAGGCCUAACACAUGCAAGUCGAGCGAGCGGCGGACGGGUGAGUAAUGUCUGGGAAACUGCCUGAUGGAGGGGGAUAACUACUGGAAACGGUAGCUAAUACCGCAUACCAUCAGAUGUGCCCAGAUGGGAUUGGCUAGUAGGUGGGGUAACGGCUCACCUAGGCGACGAUCCCUAGCUGGUCUGAGAGGAUGACCAGCCACACUGGAAUUGGGACACGGUCCAGACUCCUACGGGGGGCAGCGGGGGGAAAUAUUGCACAUUGGGCGCAAGCCUGAGGCAGCCAUGCCGGGGGUGUGAAGAAGGCCUUCGGGUUGAAAAGCACUUUCAGCGGGGAGGCGUUACCCGCAGAAGAAGCACCGGCAAACUCCGUGCCAGCCGCCGCGGAAAUC
rnacentral:rRNA from 1 species